GACGAGCGCUGGCGGCGUGCUUAACACAUGCAAGUCGAACGGAGUGGCGAACGGGUGAGUAACACGUGGGUGAUCUGCCUUGCACUUCGGGAUAAGCUUGGGAAACUGGGUCUAAUACCGGAUAGUGCAAGAUGAGCUCGCGGCCUAUCAGCUAGUUGGUGGGGUAAUGGCCUACCAAGGCGUCGACGGGUAGCCGGCCUUGGGGGGUGUACGGCCAAAGUGGGACUGAGGUACGGCCCAGAAUGCUACAGGAGGCAGCAGUGGGGAAUAUUGCACAAUGGGCGGACGCAUGAUGCAGCGACGGAGCGUGGGGGAUGAAGGCAUUCGGGUUGUAAACUCCUUUCGACAGGGACGCGGUACCGGGAUAAGAAGCACCGGCUAACUACGUGCCAGCAGCCGCGGUAAUAC
rnacentral:rRNA from 1 species